rnacentral:rRNA from 1 species
AUUGAACGCUGGCGGCAGGCCUAACACAUGCAAGUCGAACGGUAACAUAAAGAGCUUGCUCUUUGAUGACGAGUGGCGGACGGGUGAGUAACGCGUAGGAAUCUACCUUUUGGAGGGGGAUAGCCCGGAGAAAUCCGGAUUAAUACCGCAUACGACCUUCGGGUGAAAUAGGGGCCUCUACUUGUAAGCUCCUGCCGAAAGAUGAGCCUGCGUUAGAUUAGCUAGUUGGUAGGGUAAAGGCCUACCAAGGCGACGAUCUAUAGCUGGUCUGAGAGGAUGAUCAGCCACACUGGGACUGAGACACGGCCCAG